UACGUAGGGGGCAAGCGUUGUCCGGAAUCAUUGGGCGUAAAGAGCGUGUAGGCGGUCGGGUAAGUCGGCUGUGAAAGUCCAGGGCUCAACCCUGGGAUGCCGGUCGAUACUGCCGGACUAGAGUUCGGAAGAGGCGAGUGGAAUUCCCGGUGUAGCGGUGAAAUGCGCAGAUAUCGGGAGGAACACCUAUGGCGAAGGCAGCUCGCUGGGACGUUACUGACGCUGAGACGCGAAAGCGUGGGGAGCAAACAGG
rnacentral:rRNA from 1 species